CUUUCUGUUUGAAUCAUGAAGAAUUCUUGGACAAAGUUCCGCUUCUCCAGGAUUCUUCCAAUCAGAAUUACAUCCCAGAUGCGGCGCAGCCACCAGGGGAUCCGUGGCUGCAAGGUGGACCAUCCCGAGCUGUCCUGUCACUGCCUUUGUGCCUGCGCCUGUGUGGAAACAUCGACUCUGGAAUGUCCGAACCAUCCAGUGGAGAGUCAAUGGGGGAGAUGAAACUAUACGCCAAUUGUCACCUCCAGCAAGGCGUCACUUUUGGACCCUUUGUAGGAGAACUGUGCAGGGGACAGAUGCCAACCAAUCUCAAAUAUUCCUGGGCUAUUAGAGAAGAUGCUGCUUUCAUCUAUGUUGAUGCUUCUGAUGAAAAUAAAUCCACCUGGAUGAGACCACAGCCAGUCGCAGAGCCCCAUGCCUGUCAUCACUGACGUGUCAACAAUUUCCCACACGAAUGCCUCUUACGACUCAGGUGAGCCCGACCCAACUGGUCGACCGCUUGACCAGAACAAGAGGUGAGGUGAAAGAGGUGAACUGUGCUGGGGAAGCAGCAGACCUCCAAAAGCACUUGGCGAACAAACAUCACAUCAGACCACGUGACAGCAACAAGGAUCAAUGUGUAGGUCAGGGACGCUCUCGGCCACCGAUGGUUACAAGCGGUCUGUCUGCUUAAAUGACAGAUGCCAUCACAAGCUUUUUGAUCACAGAUCUCCAGCCCCCUGCUAUAGUUGGAGGGGGGGGGGGGGCUUCAAACAACUGAUCCAUACACUCAAGCCCUCCUGCAAGGAGCUGCCAUCACCCUUCCUGCUGGAGGACCUCCUGAAAGAACAACACAGCAAAGGCAAAAUGAACUUGGCUCAACUGCUGAGGAUGAAAACGGGAAACAAAGAGAAAGUAUAUGACCACGCUGCUCCCCUCGAGUUUGAGCCCAGGGUACGCGGGCAACCUUCCAGUCACGGCAGGGAAGUUCCUCACUUUGUCACUUUAAGUGUGGACAUUUGGUUUCACAGUGGGCAGGGCAACACUCAACGGUACCUCACACUAUGGGCACACUACAUAGACCGCAAUUUUAGCUUUCAUAAUCUUGCCCGAGGAACACAAAGGCUGAGAUGGAGUGGAGUGAGACAUUGCAGCCUUCGGUUGGUGGAGGCCCAAGUGAAAGCCAUGGCACAGGAAUGGGGAAUUUCUCAGCCUAAUCUGCUCUUGUUUGGAGGGGAAGGAAGGAAAAAGAUCAGGCUGGUGCCAACAGAGAAAGAUGCCGAGGCAGGAUGCGUCUCUCCUCCAAACUCAACAACGUUUCUGGAGACGGAGGACUCCCCUGAUGAACCAUCUUGCUGGGAGCAUGUCCAUUCUAACGAAGAACUGCAGACAGUGCCGUGUUUCUUCAGCGCUUUGCAGAGCUGCAUUGAAGAAGUUAUGUCACAUAAUGUAAUUUCCAAAACGCUUAACCAGUUCCACAGUUUUCUCUCAAGCCUGCUCCAUCCACCAGCUCAAAGCAAAAGCUCAUAUCAGCAUCUCGCCCAGAGCCGCUUGCAGACUUUGACGAGAGAAGAACAGACGGACCUGAGUUCAUGGGCUCAUAGUCGACCAACCUGA
rnacentral:lncRNA from 1 species